GACGAACGCUGGCGGCGUGCCUAAUACAUGCAAGUUGAGCGAUGAAGCUUGGUGCUUGCACCAAUUUGAAGAGCAGCGAACGGGUGAGUAACGCGUGGGGAAUCUGCCUUUGAGCGGGGGACAACAUUUGGAAACGAAUGCUAAUACCGCAUAAUAACUUUAAACAUAAGUUUUAAGUUUGAAAGAUGCAAUUGCAUCACUCAAAGAUGAUCCCGCGUUGUAUUAGCUAGUUGGUGAGGUAAAGGCUCACCAAGGCGAUGAUACAUAGCCGACCUGAGAGGGGGACGGCACACACGGGAAGUGAGAAACGGUACAGAGUCCUAAGGGAGGCAGCGGUGGGGAAUCGUCGGCAAGGGGCGAAAGCCGGACGGAGCAAGGGGGGGUGAGGGAGGAAGGUCUGCGGAUCGAAAAACUCUGUUAUUAGGGAAGAACAUAGGGGGAGGGAACUGUGCACAACGUGACGGUAACUAAUCAGAAAGCCACGGCUAACUACGUG
rnacentral:rRNA from 1 species